UCAGUUGGUAGAGCGGAGGACUGUAG
rnacentral:piRNA from 2 species